AAAAAAUUACUGCCUGUAAAUUUAGGAAUGCUUUAUAUUAGAAUAUUUACAUGUUUACAUAAAGUUGAUAGGAAUGUACAAGGAAAUAUUUACAUUUUAAGCAAUUUUAAUUCAGUUGUGAAAAUGAAAAUUGGUGACAUACAUUUAUUUAAAGAAUCAAUAAUUGAAUUACUAACAAUAAAACCUAUCAUUCAAAACAUUUUUGGCUAUAUCCUAGUAAAAAAGAUGAGAUUUAUGUGCAUAUAUGGCCUAUUUUCAAUUGAAAGCACUUACAAAUUAACACUGCUUUUUCUCUAUUAAAAAUGACGAUUUUCAAUAAUUUACUACAAACAGUAUAACUUUUUGAUAAGAUGAUAUGUUAAGUAAAGAAAUUGACCUUGUAUUACCUGAUCCCUUGGUAAUGAACUUUUUUUACUUUUUGCAAUAUAUCUCAAAGCUUUCCAAUCCCAAUUGAAUUGUCCUUAUAUUAUGUUUACAAGUAAGUAGAAAUAUAUACAUGUCAUGUAUCUGAAAAAUAACUUAUACAUUUGAUGAUAUGUACAUCACAACAUAAUAAAUUUAGUGCAAAUUAUAAAAUUCUAAUUUAAAAAUUACAAAACAAAAAGAUAAUCUUUGAUUUUUGUAAAUCAAUUUGCAAUGAAACAUGAUAUUCCCAUAAUGGCACCAUAUACAGCAACUAAUCAGUAAAUAGAAUGAUAAUAAUCCUUACAUAAGUUUGAUCAAUGUAUGCAUACAAAACAGUGAAACUGCGAGCU
rnacentral:lncRNA from 1 species